ACAAUGGGCGCAAGCCUGAUGGAGCAACACCGCGUGAGUGAAGAAGGGUUUCGGCUCGUAAAGCUCUGUUGUUAAAGAAGAACACGUAUGAGAGUAACUGUUCAUACGUUGACGGUAUUUAACCAGAAAGUCACGGCUAACUACGUGCCAGCAGCCGCGGUAAUACGUAGGUGGCAAGCGUUAUCCGGAUUUAUUGGGCGUAAAGAGAGUGCGGGCGGUUUUCUAAGUCUGAUGUGAAAGCCUUCGGCUUAACCGGAGAAGUGCAUCGGAAACUGGAUAACUUGAGUGCAGAAGAGGGUAGUGGAACUCCAUGUGUAGCGGUGGAAUGCGUAGAUAUAUGGAAGAACACCAGUGGCGAAGGCGGCUACCUGGUCUGCAACUGACGCUGAGACUCGAAAGCAUGGGUAGCGAACAGGAUUAGAUACCCUGGUAG
rnacentral:rRNA from 1 species